rnacentral:rRNA from 1 species
ACCCCAGACUCCUACGGGAGGCAGCAGUGAGGAAUAUUGGUCAAUGGGCGAGAGCCUGAACCAGCCAAGUCGCGUGAGGGAUUAAGGCCCUAUGGGUCGUAAACCUCUUUUGUCAGGGAGCAAUGGCGUCCACGUGUGGACGUAUGGAGAGUACCUGAAGAAAAAGCAUCGGCUAACUCCGUGCCAGCAGCCGCGGUAAUACGGAGGAUGCGAGCGUUAUCCGGAUUUAUUGGGUUUAAAGGGUGCGUAGGCGGGACCUUAAGUCAGCGGUAAAAUUGCGGUGCUCAACGCCGUAGAGCCGUUGAAACUGGGGUUCUUGAGUGAGCGAGAAGUAUGCGGAAUGCGUGGUGUAGCGGUGAAAUGCAUAGAUAUCACGCAGAACCCCGAUUGCGAAGGCAGCAUACCGGCGCUCAACUGACGCUGAGGCACGAAAGUGCGGGUAUCGAACAGGAUUAGAUACCCGCGUAC